AGGUCCUCAUCCUCAUCCUUCAGGUACUACAAUGCAAAGAGGAGACGCCACCGUAAAAACUGGGAGCAGAUCUCAGAACAGAUGAUGGAGCCGCCUCACCUGCACCCACAGUCACAGCUAUUUAUCAGGAAAAGCAGACCAUGGACUCCGGACCCCAGGGUGAGCGUGGGGGAAUGGUUAGAGCAUCGGUCCCUCUACCAGAAGAACACCAUGUAAGCACAGCAUGGAGCUUCCCCGGCUAACCAGUCAGGAAACAUCACUCAGCAUCCAGUAACUGGCCUGACGACAGUGACCUCCAACCAGGGUUAUUAUUGCUAACGAAAACUACAACUAUAAG